GGGUGCUCUGGAUCUUUCUGUCCGGAGCCUUGUAUUGGUAACGGAUAGAAAGAGAAAGGCCCCGAGUCGAUGUAAUCAACCCGAGGCCACUCUGAACGUCUCAACAACGUCAGGUUAGCCUCUUCCCCGCCGCAAGGCAAGGAUAAGGAGGUCAAAAAUG
rnacentral:antisense_RNA from 1 species